UGAGGAAUAUUGGUCAAUGGGCGAGAGCCUGAACCAGCCAAGUAGCGUGAAGGAUGACUGCCCUAUGGGUUGUAAACUUCUUUUAUAAAGGAAUAAAGUCGGGUAUGGAUACCCGUUUGCAUGUACUUUAUGAAUAAGGAUCGGCUAACUCCGUGCCAGCAGCCGCGGUAAUACGGAGGAUCCGAGCGUUCUCCGGAUUUAUUGGGUUUAAAGGGCGUGUAGGCGGGAAUGCAAGUCAGAUGUGAAAACUAUGGGCUCAACCCAUAGCCUGCAUUUGAAACUGUAUAUCUUGAGUGCAGUUGAGGCAGGCGGAAUUCGUGGUGUAGCGGUGAAAUGCUUAGAUAUCACGAAGAACUCCGAUUGCGAAGGCAGCCUGCUAAGCUGCAACUGACAUUGAGGCUCGAAAGUGUGGGUAUCAAACAGG
rnacentral:rRNA from 1 species